GGGCUCUCCAGGAUACAAGAGAUUUUUCAUGGAGGGCCUAAUGAUGAAUGUCUCUGAGAACUGCCAUGGCCUACCUGUAAACAGCUUUCUUUACAUUGACCAGUUUCAAGAGUGCCUUUCCAGGAAUAAAGAAAAGGACUGUUUACUGCACAAUCUCAUGAUAUCACAGAACAAUUCUUCCAACACUACAAAGUGAAAUCUCAUAAAAAGAUGGGUACCCGAAGCCACAGAAUGUUCCACAAAUGAAAAGCAAACCUUCCCAUCCUUUUGCUAACCUUAUGCUGUGUUACGAUGCAAGGCUUUCAAGAAGAACACAGAUCAGAUAUCAGCUCCUGCUUCUUCCUUUAGGGGUGCCCUUGUGGUGAAUAAACUUUACAAGCAGAAAAAAAAGAAAAAGUAAAGAAGUUCUUUUCUUGUUGAGGAGAGUUUUCUCUGUCAUGGGGUUUUUGUUAUUUCAAAUGAAUUUUCAAAUUGCUCUUUCUAACUCUAUGAAGCAGUGAGUUGGAAUUGUGAUAGCGAUUGCCUUGAAUAUGUUGAUUGCUUUUGCCAAGUUUGCCAUUUUUGUAAUAUUAACUCUACCAAUCCAUAAGCAUGGAAAAUCUUUCCAUCUGAGAUUUUCUUCAUUUUUUUUUCUUCACAGAGUUGAAGUUCUUGUCAUAAAGACCUUUUACUUGCUUGGUUAGAGUCACACUGAGUCUCUUGCAGAUUCAGCUAAAGAUGUGUAUAUGCUAGACUGUGAAGUACCAUUAGAAGAUGAAGCAAUGUAGGACCUCUUGAGCUAUUUUCAAGGUAAACUGGAGGUUCACUUGGGAUGCAAUGAAGAGCCCCUGACAAGCAUAUUCUUCAAAGCCUCCCAUGGUGUAACUGAAGAUACGAUAUGUGAAGUAGCCCUAGCUUGCCUGCUCAAGAGGUGUCCUUUCACAUGCAGAGGAAUGUGUAGAUGGACAUAUAUUUGAAUAAGAUACCGAACCUAAGACUACUGCAUUAGAGCCUCGUACAAGAAUUCUAAGACUGUUGACUGCCUACCAUGGAUAUUCAGAAUGGCUUUUUGGCCUUGUGGAAGGUGUAUAACAUGUAUAUCCAACUCAUCAUGGCUGAAAUCAGUAAAAUGUAGACAACUAUAUAAUGAAUGAAAGGAAGGGGUCACUCUUGGAAAGUAUUAAGAAGAUCGUCAUAACCUCUGGCCAUGUUAGAGAUCAAGAAGUGGUCAGAAGAAUUUCAAGUACAAAUUCAGAUGGCUGGAAAGAGCCCAGUCUCUCUAACAGGCAUCUGCAGAUACUACCUUUUGAGGAAUGAAUCCUUCUCAGGAGACAAUAGACGGAACCUGCACUUCAAUGAUAAUUAAAUGGCACUUCAAGAUAUCAAAUCAAAAUAUCAAAAAAGGAUUACAAGAGCUGAAGACAUUAUCAACCCCAUCAGAAGAAUAAUGCGAAUGAACAAGAACCUUCUGGUACUAUAAAGAUACUCAAAGACUGUACAUGGACAGACCUAUUGCUCCAACUGCAUGUGUGGCAGAGGAUGGCAUUGUUGGACACCAAAGGAAGGAGAGGCCCUUGGUUCUCCAUAGGUUUGACUCCCAGUUCAAGGAAAUUUCAACGGGUAGUAAGGGUGGUUUAAGUGUAAAGGAAAGGAAACAUUUAGGUCUCUUACGGAGAGGAAACUGGGAAUGGAAAUAACAUUUAAAUAUAGAUAUAGAAAUAUCCAAAAAGUAUUAAAAUUAACUUAAAAUUUAAAAAAAAAUGAAAGAAAUAAAAGUAAAUAAAACUGCAAGGUAAUCAGACAUAUUGAUUCAUAAAUC